CCGAUGGCGACCGGCGCACGGGUGAGUAACACGUAUCCAACCUGCCGAUAACUCGGGGAUAGCCUUUCGAAAGAAAGAUUAAUAUCCGAUAGGAUAUCAAGGUCGCAUGAUCUUGAUAUUAAAGAAUUUCGGUUAUCGAUGGGGAUGCGUUCCAUUAGUUAGUUGGCGGGGUAACGGCCCACCAAGACGACGAUGGAUAGGGGUUCUGAGAGGAAGGUCCCCCACCAUUGGAACUGAGACACGGUCCAAACUCCUACGGGAGGCAGCAG
rnacentral:rRNA from 1 species